rnacentral:tRNA from 4 species
GCAGGUGUGGCGGAACUGGCAGACGCGCAGCGUUCAGGGCGCUGUGGCCGCAAGGCCGUAGAGGUUCAACUCCUCUCAUCUGCA